UGCGUAGGCGGCGCGGUAAGUCGGGUGUGAAAUCUCGGAGCUUAACUCCGAAACUGCAUUCGAUACUGCCGUGCUUGAGGACUGGAGAGGAGACUGGAAUUUACGGUGUAGCGGUGAAAUGCGUAGAUAUCGUAAGGAAGACCAGUGGCGAAGGCGGGUCUCUGGACAGUUCCUGACGCGAGGCACGAAGGUCAGGGGAGCAAAC
rnacentral:rRNA from 1 species